UAAGUCCUCUUGUUGAAUAGAUCCUUUAAGUAUGAUAUAGUGUCCCUCUUCAUCUCUCACUACAGUCUUUGGGUAAAUUUUAGUUUAUCUGAUUAAGGAUGGCUACCCCUGCUUUCUUUUGAGGACCAUUUGAAUGGUAAAUGGUUCUCCAACCUUUUUUUUCAGGCUGUAGGUGUCCUUCUGUCUAAAAUGAGUCUCUUGUAGACAGCAAAUAGAUGGGUCCUGCUUUUUUAUCCAGUCUGAAACCCUGCGCCUUUUGAUAGGGUCAUUAAGCCCGUUCACAUUCAGAGUUACUAUUGAGAGAUAUGAGUUUAGUGUCAUCAUGAUAUCUAUUCAGUCUUUGUUUUUGUGGACUGUUCCACUGAACUUCUUCUUAAAGGAGAAUUUUAAGAGGCCCCCUUAAAAUUUCUUGCAGAGCUGGUUUGGAGGUCACAUAUUCUUUUAGUUGCUGCCUGUCUUGGAAGCUUUUUAUCUCUCCUUCCAUUUUGAAUGAGAGCCUUGCUGGAUAAAGUAUUCUUGGUUGCAUGUUCUUCUCAUUUAGGACCCUGAAUAUAUCCUGCCAGCCCUUUCUGGCCUGCCAGGUCUCUGUGGAGAGGUUUUGCUGUUACCCUAAUACUCCUCCCCAUAAAAGUCAGGGAUUUCUUGUCUCUUGCUGCUUUAAGGAUCUUCUCCUUAUCUUUGGAAUUUGCAAGCUUCACAAUUAAAUGUCGAGGUUUUUGAAGGGUUUUUUUUAUUGAUUUUAGGGGGGGAUCUCUUAUUUUCCGGAUCUGAAUGCCUGUUUCCCUUCCCAGAUUAGGAAAGUUUUCAGCUAGAAUUUGUUCAAAUACAUAUUCUGGCCCUCUGUCCCUUUCGGCGCCCUCGGGAACCCCAAUUAAACGUAGGUUUUUCUUCCUCAGGCUGUCGUUUAUUUCCCUUAAUCAUCUUCAUGGUCUUUUAAUUGUUUGCUCUUUUUCCUCAGUUUCCCUCUUUGCUAUCAACUUGUCUUCUAGGUCACUCACUCUUCUUCCACCUCGUUAACCCUCGUCGUUAGGACUUCUAGUUUGGAUUGCAUCUCAUUCAAUUGAUUUUUAAUUUCUGCCUGAUUAGCUCUAAAUUCGCAGUCAUGAAGUCUCUUGAGUCCUUUAUACUUUUUUCUAGAGCCACCAGUAGCUGUUUUAAUAGUGCUUCUGAAUUGGCUUUCUGACAUUGAAUUGUAAUCCAGAUUUUGUAACUCUGUGGGAGGAGAGGACUGUUUUUUGAUUCUUUCUUUUGAGGUGAGGUUUUCCUUCUAGUCCUUUUGCUCAGUGCAGAGUGGCCAAAAGCAAGUUGUAUUGGGAAAAAGAGAAAAAGAGAGGAGAGAAAGAAGGAAAGAAAAGAGAAAGGAAAAAAAAGGGAAGAAAAAAAAAAAAACGAAAAAAAAAAAAAAAAAA
rnacentral:lncRNA from 1 species